GUGAAAAUGUUUUAAUAAAAGGAAACUAGAAAUCAAAUAUUUGUAUAAGGACAGAUUUGAGGUUUUUCUGUACUUUUAAUGAGCUAGAAAAUGCAUACUAUAAAUAGAAUAUACAAAUGAUUUUACACAAAUGAAGCAUUAAAAAUCACAAAUCUUAUAUUUGGUUAUCCACAGUCUAUAAAAUAAUGUUCCCAAAUUAUAUAGUUUAAAAUACACAAUGUUUCAAGUUGCAAGACAAAACCAGGGUAGUUUUGGCCCUAAAUCAUAGCUAACAUAAGUAGGAAUUAUAAUUAAUUUUAUAAUUGUGUUUAAAUUUUAAAUACUCUAGAAUCUGAAAAUAUUAAAUAUUAAAUAGAUGGAGGGAUCAAAUUAUCAAGUUUUUUAACAAAAUUGAGGUAAAAAUCUGCAUUAAAUUACACCAAGAAAAACAUUUCUAAAACAUUGUUUCCAUAACUCAUUAUAAAUAUUUCAUCUUCCGAAAGUACUCUUUGAUUACCUCUGGCCUUCUGGGUCUGGUAAUUAAGUUGACUUAAUAUUUGCACAUAGCUACUGAUUACUCAAUACAGGCCUAUCAGAUAAAACUAAAAUGCUGCAACUUAAUCAGAAUGAUGCAAUCUUGUCUUAUAUAAAUAUACAAAUCACAGUAUGCUGACACUAGAUAACUUCAGCUUUAUUUGCCAAAGGGGAUUUAGAAUAUACUACAAAAUUGUAUAUAAAAUAACCCUUUACAAGGAUUUACUAGGAUGACUGCAAAGAAAGGCAAAUUAAAUAUACCUGGUCCCAUAUAAGAAUUGUUGCCUAACCUCAUAUACUAAUUUGAAUAUGAAGACUCACUUUUUAUUUCUUAUUUUUUUGAAACAGGGUCUCGCUCUGUCACCCAGGCUGGAGUGCAGUGGUGUGAUCUCAGCUCACUGCAACCUCUGCCUCUUGGGUUCAAGCGAUUCUCCUACCUCAGCCUCACAAGUAGCUGGGACUACAGGCGUGCACCACCAUGCCUGGCUAAUUUUUUGUAUUUUUAGUAGAGAAGGGGUUUCUCCAUGUUGGUCACACUGGUUUUGAACUCCUAAUCUCAGGUGAUCCACCCGCCUCGGACUCCCAAAGUGCUGGGAUUACAGGUGUGAGCCACCGCACCUGGCCUGAAUAUAAAGACUCAUUUUAAAUUAUACUAGUUGAACCUUUAUACUACAAUGUAUCCUGGCACUUAUUUUUUUUAAACCAUUAUCAGAUAUUUCAUGUUCUACUAGUAAAGGGAAUUCGCAUUUUCAAUGUCCUGUCUGCAUUCCUCCUAGCCUCUCUCUGCUCAGGUUUUGGAAAAUAGAUCUUUCAAAUGCAAUUGCAGUAUCCAAGGAAAUUCCUCCCACCCAUGCCACCAGUGCUCAUCCUGUGGGCACCCCACAGUCAGCAGUUUAAGACCAUUCUGGAUGAAUGCAAAUGCUUGAUUCAAUUUUCCCAAAUCCCAAUCAACUAGCUACAGUUUUUAUUGUAUGCAAUCUUCCCAACAUUGCAGUAAAGCAGUCUAGAUGGCUGGGGAAAGGUAAAAGAACCCCGGUUGUGAUUAUUUUUUUCUAACAAAAUGGAAUUAAAAGAUGAGAAAACCUCGUAGUAUUUUAGUCUGGUACUUUUAGCAUCCCCAACUUUUAAGAUUAUAAAUUCACAAUAGUGAACACCCUAGUGACAACUUUUAAAUAAAAUACUGGAUAGCUGGGCGCAGUGGCUCACACCCGUAAUCCCAGCACUUUGGGAGGCCGAGGCGUGUAGAUCACUUGAGGUCAAGAGUUCAAGACCAACCUGGCCAACAUGGUAAAACCUCCUCUCUACUAUAAAUACAAAAAAUUAGCUGGGCGUGGUGGUGCAUGUCUGUAAUCCCAGCUAUUCGGGAGGCUGAGGCAGGAGAAUCACUUGAACCCAGGAGGCAGAGGUUAGAGUGAGCCGAGAUCGUGCCACUGCACUUCAGCCUGGGCAAUGGAGUGAGACUCUGUCUCAAAAAAAAUAAAAAAUAAAAAAUAAAAUACUGCAUAAUUACAUGCUAUAGUAAAUUAAUCAUACACUCAAAAUUUUAGCUUGGAUUUGUUUUGCAACUGAUUUGAUGCUGUCUGAAAAUCAAGAUCAAGCAGGUGAUGAAAACUAUACCUUUUGAACAUGCAUUAGGUAACCAGGGGGCAACAGAGUAGGGACUAAUAAGGCCAGCAACUCAGGGAAAUUAGCCUAUUCAUCUGAUAUCAUCCCCACCGCCAGACCUACUGAAUCAGAAACUCUAGGGUGGCCCCCAGCAAUCAAGUUUUUGGUUUUGUUUUUUUAACAGACAGGGUCUCACUUUGCUGCCCAGGCUGGACUGCAGUGGCCCAAUAAUAACUCACUGCAGCCUCGAACUCCUGGGUUCAAGUGAUCCUCCUGCCUCAGACUCCCAAGCAGCUCAGACUACAGGUAUGCACUACCAUGCCUGUUUGUUUUUUGUUUUUGUUUUUGUAGAGACAGGGGUCUUGCUGUAUUGCCCAGCCUGAUCUUGAACUCCUGGGCUCACGUGAUCCUCCUGCCUCAGUCUCCCAAAGCACUGGAAUUACAGGCAUGAGCCUGUGUUCUCCCCUCUCUUCCAAUAAUGUGUAUUCAACAAGGCCUUCAGGUGAUGCUGAUGCUGUCUGAAAGCCACUGCUCUCCAGCAUGUGGUCUCUGAAACUUUACUUAGGAGUAUGCAUAUUAAAAUAUAUAUAUAACUUAACACUAUGCUACUACAAAGGGCAAAAUAAUUCACUUUAUUGUACUUUAUUUUAGAAUAAUUAAGACAAGGAUAGGCUUCAAUGAAAUUUUGCUUUGAUGUUACAUGGUCUGACUGACACUGGAUUUCUUCAUAAGAAAAAUAAAUGUGAAAGCUAUUCCAAGUAAGCAAAUGGUGGCAAAAACAAUCUAAAGAAUUGGUUUUAGCCAGGCAUGGUGGCUCAUGCCUGUAAUCCCAGCACUUUGGGAGGCCAGGGCGGGCAGAUUACUUGAGCUCAGGAGUUCAAGAGCAGCCUGGCCAACAUGGUGAAACCCCAUCUCUACUAAAAACACAAAAAUUAGGCAAUAUAGCAAGACCCCAUCUCUACCAAAAAUACAAAAAAACUAAUCAGGAAUGGGGGCACAUGCCAGUAGUCCCAACUACUCAGGAGACUGAGGUGGGAGGAUGGCUUGAGCUUGGGAGGUUGCAGUGAGCCAAGAUCCUGCCACUGCACUCCAGCCUGGGUGACAGAGUGAGACCCCAUCUCAAAAAAAAAAAAAGAAUUUCAUCUCAUGUCAAAAAUAAGACUCUUGGACAGAAAUCUUCUGCCUGCCUUCCAAGGACCCACUGAAAUUAAUGGAUACUCUCACAUGACUGACUUUAUUAUUAAAUACUUGCUGUAAUCACAACUAGGCAUAGGAAAAUCAAGUAGAGAAAUACUGAAUGCCUAGCAUACAACGAUCUAAGUGAAAGUUAAUAAAAGUAGCUCUUCAGAAAGACAUCUCAUGUAAAAUUAAAUUUAAAACUAAAAAUUUCAUGAAGUGACCUGUUAAGAGUUUCAAUUUAGAAGCUUUACUUUUCUAAUUUUAAAAUAUCAUGAAUGAAAUGGUGUCUUCAUCUAGGUGCUUCUCCAUCAAAAUCCCUAGCUCAAAAAUAAAAAUCAUGUUUGUGUCACCCCAGAUUCAAAAUGCUGUUAUUGGAAAUGUUACCAUUUCACAUGAACAUUCCAGUAAAUAUGCACAUAGAGGGUACUCAUUACUUUUGGUUGGUAAUUUUUCCUUAAAUAUAUUUCAAUGAUUUCAUUGUUUGACAUUUUCAUAGUUAACGUAUACUGAAUACAGAAAAUUUUGUAGGAAAACACUAUUUUUUAAAUGUAGUAACAUUAAAAUAUUAAAAUAUCCCGUUUAUUAAAGGCUCUUAAGAUUUAAAGAAAAAUUUCCUGUGCACAUACAAUGUACCUAUGAAAUACUGUAUUAUUAGUUAUUGUACAGGCAAAUGAGGCUGUUACUAUAAAAAAAAUGUGGUGUCUAAAAAUUGCAAGUCUAUGUGAAAAAUCAACCUCAAUUUAUCUAAAUGGGAUUUGGGGGACACGGCAGACUAUUAAAAUAGAACUCAAACUUCAAAUUCUGUAAACUGAACAUCUCAUUAAUGCCACUUCACCAUUUAAAAAAGUCAGCACACAAUGUUAGCUAUGUAAGUUUAUCUGCAGAUGUUACAGGUAAUUAUUUCUGUUAACUCCUCCUAAAAUAUUAUUUAGUAAUAAAGAAUAUUUCAAAAGGAGAGUAGGUAGAAACGAAGAUCAUAACUAUACUUACUUAAUAUGAAAAUGACAUUUCAUUUAUUUGCUAAUAUGUGGAAAAAAAUUUUCUAAUUAAUUCCUCCUUUAUCCUUCUUUAAAAACAUUUUAUUUCUUCAACCAGCACACUGAGGAUUAGUGCUAUGGGUAUUACCACAGUGCCCUGUGAAAAGACUUGGCUUCCAGAGAAGUCAUACCUUGCAUACCCUGGAGUCAUACCUCAAAUUGGCUCUGCAUGAUUGAUUUUACAGCGGGCAUUAAAAUUCUUCUGAAACAAGGCUGUGUACCUUUGAGAACAUUCACAUUUAACCUUGUGAGCUCACUUCUACAAGAACAAUGAACUUAUUUGUCAGCUGCCAGGGGGAAAAUCAGCUUAAUGUAAAGAAUUAAUUAAAUCAGGUUGACAGAAGCCAAUAUCUCAAUGUUUUUAAAUUAAAAUUUAUUUAAAGGAAUAAGUAUGGGUGCAUUACAUAAACCUAAUGGUUCUUCUAAGCUUCAAAAAGCAUUCAUUUCAAAAGUAUUCACUUUUUUUUUUUUUGAGACGGAGUCUCGCUGUCGCCCAGGCUGGAGUGCAGGGGCACGAUCUCGGCUCACUGCAGGCUCCGCCUCCCGGGUUCACGCCAUUCUGCUGCCUCAGCCUCCCGAGCAGCUGGGACUACAGGCGCCGCCACCACGCCCGGCUAAUUCUUUGUAUUUUUAGUAGAGACGGGGUUUCACUGUGUUAACCAGGAUGGUCUCGAUCUCCUGACCUCGUGAUCCGCCCGCCUCGGCCUCCCAAAGUGCUGGGACUACAGGCGUGAGCCACCACGCCCGGCCCAAAAGCAUUUACUGUUAAGGCUGCCUCAUUUUUCAGCUUUGUUGUAGUUGAGAUUCUGAUGUUCACCUAACAAAGUCCCUGACAAAACAGACUUCCUUCAAUCCAGGUCAUAAUUUGAAACGUUAUACAAUAAUGAGAUUUAAGUGAUGAAUGGAAAGAAAAGAAGGAGACUGAAAAGAUAUCAGAAAUUUCUAUUUGUUUUUAGAUUCAGAAAAAUAUAAUUACAGGCCAACAUGGGUCUGACAGAGAGGAAGGACGUCAGCAGUUAC
rnacentral:lncRNA from 10 species